rnacentral:rRNA from 1 species
UACGAAGGGGGCUAGCGUUGCUCGGAAUUACUGGGCGUAAAGCGCACGUAGGCGGCUUUCUAAGUCGGGGGUGAAAUCCUGGAGCUCAACUCCAGAACUGCCUUCGAUACUGGAGAGCUCGAGUCCGGGAGAGGGUGAGUGGAACUGCGAGUGUAGAGGUGAAAUUCGUAGAUAUUCGCAAGAACACCAGUGGCGAAGGCGGCUCACUGGCCCGGUACUGACGCUGAGGUGCGAAGCGUGGGGAGCAAACAGGAU